GGAGCUCCUGGUCCUGUAGGCCCCGCAGGUUCUCCUGGAAAAGAAGGCCUAAGGGGAAGACGCGGAAAACCAGGCCCCCCCGGCAAGCCAGGAACACCUGGACUUCCUAGUCAACAAGAACAAAGUGCCCAAAAAGGCGAAAAGGGGGACAUUGGUCCAAGAGGAUUACCCGGCCUGCCAGGAUUGGUUAAUUCAGUCUCGAAGGGUGAAAAGGGUGACCCUGGUGAAAUUGGAAUUAAAGGAGAACAAGGAGCUAAGG